ensembl:lncRNA
UAGUUUACAAGCCCCUGAUGCAGACACCAUCUAAAGCAGUCAAAAGAAGACUGUAUUAAAUCCUUCAGCGCUUUUCAUAGUUUUUGACACUCGACUUCAGUGUUGACUAAACAAAAGGAAGAUUUUUUUUUUUUUUUGAAGAUUAGGCAGAUAUUUAACCCAGGUUUUACGUUUUCUUUUCAAAUGUUUUAAAUUAUCGUUUUAAAAGGUGUAUCUAAACUACGUGAGGCCCCAACAUGCCCCAACAUGCCCCAACAUGCCCCAACAUGCCCCAACAUGCCCCAACAUGCAACAUGCCCCAACAUGCCCCAACAUGCCCCAACAUGCCCCAACAUGCCCCAACAUGCCCCAACAUGCCCCAACAUGCCUUGUUAAAUGUGUUCUGACUGUGGGUGAGUUGCUAGAGGUAACCAAAGGUGGUGGUUAUGAUUAGUAUUUUCCUCCCUCUACCUGGUCAAAUGGUCCUGACUGCUACAGUUGGAAACCUCUGAUCAGAUCGUCCUCCAGAGCAGUGUGCUGUGCUGCCAUAUUCACUGUGACACUAACGGGCCUAGCUACAUGGGAGGUGGGGGUCCAGGGCUGGAACCAGACACUAACGGGGCCUAGCUACAUGGGAGGUGGGGGUCCAGAUACUAGACAGUAAAGUUGUAAUAUCCUGUCAACCCCCUCCUGUCCUGUGUUAGCCCAUGUUUGAGUUCCUUCUACUCCUCUCUGGUCCCAUCCAUGACCUCUGUCUGUCCGUUUGUCUUCCAUGCUCCAUCACUCUUGUCUUUUACUCCUCUCCCCUUCCUCCUCCUCCUCCAGCCUUUUAGUCCAUCCCUCUCCUCCUCCUCCUCUCUCUCUUCCAGCCUUUUCCUCCUCCUCUCUCUCUUUAGUCCAUCCCUCUCCUCCUCCUCCUCCCUCUCUUCCUCUCCUCCAAACCCUUGGAUGUUUAGUGUUGUCAAUUGUUUAGCUUCUCUUUCAAAGCGGAAAUAGCAGAAUUUAUAUAUAAAACUGGUAUCUUGAAGCUUAUUGUAUAUAUUAGUAGUCACCAUGGGGAUGACGACACGACAAUGUAAACAAAAAGUAGAAAUAAUACGAAAAGUUGUGAUUCCUGUGUUCUCUCUCUCUCUCUCUCCAUUUGAGUAUUUUGUAUUUUUUUUUUUCAAAAAUUUGUGGAAUUAAAAUAAAUGACUAAGUUACACCACAAGACUUUUGUUAUUGGUUUUAAUGUAGACGUUUCCUGUUGGUAAUGUAUGCUAGAAAAUGUUUUCUUUGUCAUUUUUGGAUACACAUGCAAUCUGGUAGCAGGCACGCUUCAACAGCUGUCAUUUAGAGAAGCUAUUAUUCCUCUAGUGCCGACUGAACAUUACUCCGGAGAUAAUGUAGCCCCGGUGAAUCCAGACUGACCGUUACUCUGGAGAUAAUGUAGCCCGGUGAAUCCAGACUGACCGUUACUCUGGAG